rnacentral:rRNA from 1 species
AUUGAACGCUGGCGGCAGGCCUAACACAUGCAAGUCGAGCGAGCGACGGACGGGUGAGUCAUGUCUGGGAAACUGCCUGAUGGAGAGGGAGAACUGCUGGAAACGGUAGCUAAUACCGCGUACCAUCGGAUGUGCCCCGAUGGGAUUAGCUAGUAGGUGGGGUAAAGGCCCAACUAGGGGACGAUCCCUAGCUGGUCUGAGAGGAUGACCAGACACACUGGAACUGAGACACGGUCCAGACUCCUACGGGAGGCAGCAGUGGGGAAUAUUGGACAAUGGGCGAAAGCCUGAUGCAGCCAUGCCGCGUGUAUGAAGAAGGCCUUCGGGUUGUAAAGUACGUUAAGCGGGGAGGCGUUACCAGCAGAAGAAGCACCGGCUAACUCCGUGCCAGCAGCCGCGGUAAUUC